rnacentral:SRP_RNA from 1 species
ACCAGGCACGGUGACACGUGCCUGUAGUCCCAGCUACUCGGGAGGCUGAGGAUCGCUUGAGCCCAGGAGUUCUGGGCUGUAGUGCGCUAUGCCGAUCAGGUGUCCGCACUAAGUUCGGCAUCAAUAUGGUGACUCCAGGGAAUGGGGGACCACCAGGUUGCCUAAGGAGGGGUGAACCGGCCCAGGUCCGAAAUGGAGCCGGUCAAAACUCCCGUGCUGAUCAGUAGUGGGAUUGCACCUGUGAAUAGCCGCUGCACUCCAGCCUGGGCAACAUAGCGAGACCCCGUCUCU